AUUGAACGCUGGCGGCAGGCCUAACACAUGCAAGUCGAGCGGAUGACGGGAGCUUGCUCCUUGAUUCAGCGGCGGACGGGUGAGUAAUGCUUAGGAAUCUGCCUAUUAGUGGGGGACAACAUUCCGAAAGGGAUGCUAAUACCGCAUACGCCCUACGGGGGAAAGCAGGGGAUCUUCGGACCUUGCGCUAAUAGAUGAGCCUAAGUCGGAUUAGCUAGUUGGUGGGGUAAAGGCCUACCAAGGCGACGAUCUGUAGCGGGUCUGAGAGGAUGAUCCGCCACACUGGGGCUGAGACACGGCCCAGACUCCUACGGGAGGCAGCAGUGGGGAAUAUUGGACAAUGGGCGGAAGCCUGAUCCAGCCAUGCCGCGUGUGUGAAGAAGGCCUUUUGGUUGUAAAGCACUUUAAGCGAGGAGGAGGCUACUUAGAUUAAUACUCUGGGAUAGUGGACGUUACUCGCAGAAUAAGCACCGGCUAACUCUGUGCCAGCAGCAGCCGCAG
rnacentral:rRNA from 1 species